ensembl:misc_RNA Y_RNA Y RNA
GGCUGGUCCAAAGGGAGUGAAUUAUCUCACCUGACUGUUCACAGCCAGCUACAGAUCAAAUUCCUUGUUCUACUCUUUCUACUUUCUCACUAUGGCACCCGACUAGUCUUAA